UGCAGUCGAGCGAGAAAGCCUGACUUCGGUUAGGCGAGUAAAGUGGCGAACGGGUGAGUAACACGUGGACAACCUACCCUUGAAUCUGGGAUAAUCCACCGAAAGGCGGUCUAAUACCGGAUAAUGCCAAUUAGGGGCAUCUCUUUUUGGUCAAAGGCGGGGUAACCUGCCGUUUUAGGAUGGGUCCGCGUUCCAUUAGCUUGUUGGUGAGGUAACGGCCCACCAAGGCGACGAUGGAUAGCCGGCUUGAGAGAGUGAUCGGCCACACUGGGACUGAGAUACGGCCCAGACUCCUACGGGAGGCAGCAGUAGGGAAUAUUGCGCAAUGGACGAAAGUCUGACGCAGCAACGCCGCGUGGGUGAUGAAGCAUCUUGGUGUGUAAAACCCUGUCAGUGGGGAAGAACCGUACGGAGAAUAACUGCUCUGUACCUGACGGUACCCACAGAGGAAGUCCCGGCUAACUCCGUGCCAGCAGCCGCGGUAAUACGGGGGGGACAAGCGUUGUUCGGAUUUACUGGGCGUAAAGGGCGCGUAGGCGGACCUUCAAGUCGGAUGUGAAAACUAUUGGCUCAACUGAUAGCCUGCAUACGAUACUGUUGGUCUUGAGUAUAUCAGAGGAAAGCGGAAUUCCAGGUGUAGCGGUGAAAUGCGUAGAUAUCUGGAAGAACACCAGUUGCGAAGGCGGCUUUCUGGG
rnacentral:rRNA from 1 species